rnacentral:tRNA from 1 species
GCCCGGAUAGCCCAAUUGGUAGAGGCAGGGGACUUAAAAUCCCCUCAGUGCGGGUUCGACUCCCGCUCCGGGUACCA